UCCUAUAUUGAUUAUACGAAACGUUCAAAGCUGGUUACGCUUCUGCACCCUAUUAGCGAUACGCUGGCACGAGUGCUGUUCGAUAUGCAUUUUUAUGAUGAUUCUGAGGUUGAAGAGGUGAAGCAAAAGGGGCUGACGAUGUCGAUGUAUACGCCAUUCUCAGUGUGCAGCAUUGCAGAUGUGCCACAACAACGAGAUGGUGCGUCUUGCGGAAUCUUGACCGUCAAAUUCAUCGAGCAUCUCAGUGCUGGGAUGUCGGUAGAUAAAGUUGACCCUUUGAAGAUCAAAUAUUACCGACUCAAGCUUGCAAUUGAGGGUUUAAGGGGGGAGGCAUAUUUAUGAGGUCGGUCUCAACCAAGGGUUGAUUGCAAUAUUCCAACCAAGAUGACCAUACACUGUUAUUUGAUGUAGGUUUUU